UUAUCAAACCUAGCAAACGUGAACAGUGAUGCAACUGUUGUUGGACACUGCACAAGUAUUAAGAUAGAAAACACUUACUUGGAAUGACUCUAAAUGCAGCUUAGUGUCUGUGUCUAAAUUUUAUGCAUUUAUAAAAUUAGUUCACAAUAAAAAAAAAAAGAAUUUCACCAGCUUUAUCCUGUCAUGAAUUACAGCUCAGUGUCUUAAUCAUACAAAGGUUUUAUUUGACUCCUCUACUUAAUAGGGCGAGGCAGGAUGUCUCAACUAUUCUUCCUUUCUUCUUCACGUUUAGGACACAUUCUCAAGUCUGAUUUGACAGGUGACGGGCGUCUUGAAUAUAUGGCAAUAAAACGACUGUGUGACUGGUUGCUGAUGUGUUUUAGCAGCCACUAAAGAGCUUCAUCAGUUGCGUAAAUCCUUCACUCACAAUGUCACCGAUUCGGAGUAAAAAUGUAAGCUUUUAACAGGAGAACAAAGCUCUCUCUCUUUCUCUCUCUUUACACCUGCCAUCACCUCUUCUUUAUUCACAUUACUGAGAUGUAGGAGACAAAGCUGGCAGAAAACCUGAUCUGCUGGAGAUGAGAAAGCCGCUGAUAAGCAGCAGUGUCAUGGAAAUCAUAUCUGCGGUUUUGAAGGCAAAUUUCAUCUCCGCUUCAGAGGACUUUGUGCUUUCCUUGAUUCUGUCCUCUAGUUCUGAGACCAAAGCACUUGCGGAUUGCAUGCAUAAUGUUUAUUUGAUACACGUCCAGCACGGACGCAGUUAUUCUCAUGCAACCGGUUGCGUCUGUGAGAAGAGCUUAUCUGAAGUCACUUUAGGUUCCUGUGCUCCGAAAAUAACGAACAAAUCUGAAAACUCAGUGGGCGACAUUUUAAGAAUCUUCUGAUGUCACCCGGCUGAGAAAAAGGACACACAGAUAAAUAAUACCUAUUUUUGCAGCCUAUGAGCACAAAUCUGCAAACUAACCUCUUCUGCCUCCGUCGCUAUCUCCCACCAACAUGCAAGUCCUCAGUAAUUUCUCAUCAUCUUUCCUCUUUGUCCUUAAUGUUGGAGGAUGAGCCAAAUCUAUAAAGCAGCUAGAAGGCAGCGGAGCCUGUCAACUCCAGUGAGCAAGUAAGUAAACUUUAUUUAUAUAGCGCUUUUCAAAAAGGCAGCGCUUGUAAAGUGCUUCACGGUUGAUAAAAUGCAUAAUAGUACACAGCACGAAAACAGCAAGUAAAAAAUACAAUUUCUAAAUGGAAACAGACACUCAACAAUAAGAAGCAAUACAAACAAACAAAACAACAUUGAAAGACAAAUAAAACCAAUAGGAACCGCAGAGCAACAAAACUUAGAAAAACACCAGCCUAUACAAGUGAUUUUUUAAAAGUUUUUUAAAAUGUGGUUCAGACUCAGCUGACCUGACGGUGAGGGGGAGGCGAUAGUGUUGGAGUUAAAAUGGUAAAAGCACAGUUCCCUGUUUGUUUUGAGCCGGGACCGUGGGACACUCCGAGUAAUGUUGGCGCAGAGUAUUGAGUACCUCUGUCCACAAAACCACAAAAACAACUUAAGCUUAACACUGCACUGCCUCUAUUGGCAUAAUGUUUCAUUCAGAGGCUCUUAGAAAUCCAGCACCAUCACUCUGUGGGUAAACAAAGGCUCACAGUUGUAGUCUUUUGUAUGCUGCAUUUGGUUAAUGUAGGGUUUCAAAUAAUGAUUAUUUCACUGCUGAUUAAUCUGCCAAUUAUUUCUUGGAUUCAUCGUUUGGUCUGUAAAAUGUCAGGAAAUAGUGAAAAAUGUUCAUCACGAUUAUCUGAAACCCAAGUUGAUGUCAUUAAAUGUUUUCAUCCGACCAACAGUCCCAAAGAUAUUCAGUUUACUGUCACAUACAAAACAAAGAAAGGCAGCAAAUCCUUUAUCAGUUUAAAGACUAUUUGAUUAUCAAAUUAGCUGCAGAUUAAUGUAGUCUUCUGUCAGUUGACUAAUUGUUUAAAUGUAAAAAUACUCAAAUUUGGAUCAUGUUUACAAGUAUUCACAGAGAGUCAAAUCUGAAGUCUUAAAAAAAUAUGUUUGAAGUUUCAUGAAUACAUAACACCAUUUAAUUCUCCUCUCUUUUCUCAUCUCUCAUCCCUUCUUCCUUUAGACAUAAAUCCUUGAACCCUAAAACAAAUCUUGCAUUUAGUUACAAUAAUUCAUUCGCAUCAAGCACAUCAAACGAGCGCCUUCAAGUAAACAUAACGUCUGAACAGAUUCUUCCACUCGUUAAGCUUUAAGACAUUGGUGUUAAAUUGAGUGAAGUUACAAAUCCUUUAUGAUUUUGUCACGUUAAGUCUGAAGUGUUUCCAUCCUCCACAACUCUAGUGACGGCUAUAUGAUUGAUAACUAGCGCUCAAGUGAAGAAAAAGUCUUAAAAUUGACUGAACGUGAUCCACUUUCAUGACAGACCGAUCUAUCAUUUAUAGAAAGGCUGUAAGGAACAUAUGAACAAUAUACAAACAUAUCAAAAGAGAAUCUCCAUCCACAAAAUCCAAACUGUGGAACUUCCUUGUGUCUCUCUGUAGGAUUUGUUCAUUCAUAGUUAUUUCUAAAAAUAUAUUUCUGUGGUUUGAGUUAAAAAUGUGCGCACACACACACCUGUGAACACACACAUACGUUCAUGUUAAGACACGGUUCAAGGACUGCUGCUGGCUGAAAGAUAUCUGAGGUUUAAUUCAGCUAAGGCCGUAAUAAGACACUCAUUUGCUCAGUGCCAGUUGACUGGAACAAAAAGUCAAUUCUCGGUGUGUUUAGUUUCUCUCCCCGGCGGCAUUGAUCAUUAUUAGGAUCCCUUUCUUUUCUCUUUAUCUUCAUGAGUCUGCCAGAGGAACGCAGGAGUAUUCACAAAGAAACAGAUGCAGCUGCAUCUGACAAGACUGACAGGAGAAGACCCUUUUCUUGCACAUUGAUUUCGUUCUUCAUUUCACAAGCUGCUGGUGCCAGCUGACUGUGAAGCAGAAGAGCCCACAGGUUGCAGCACCAUCACUCAUCUACGGUUCAACAAGUAUGAAUCUCAGUACCAUCACCAUUGUAGCCUUUGAGCAAGCUUUAUACCUGGCUUUGAAUAUUCAGAAACAGAUGUCAGUUACAUUGACCAGCUUUCAUGGUGUGCAAAAUUCCCAUUAAAUAUUCAAGGAUAGCAGAAAGCCUGUAAAGGUGUCUAUGGUAGGCCCUCCGCAAAUAUUUAGUUGCUAAUUUUAAAAACCUAAAUGUGAUUCCAUUCAUGUCAGUCAUUUCCUUGUGAAUUUCAGUUUUAUUCUGUUCUUUUCUUAUCCUGCAACAUGUUUCAGCAUCUCAACCGGCGAAGCUGGCAGUGACAUAGAUGUCUUGAACACUGUCUUGCUAACUUGCAGCGCGCAAGUCCCCACAUCAGCCGCUCACCCCUGAUGUUGGAAACGAAAAGUACUCUGCAUAAUUUAUGCAGCAUAGCAUCGCCUGAGAGCGAGUAGGCGAACAUGCUAAAGCAGAUCCAAUAAAUUAGACAUGAGGACUUCUCAGAAAACAAACGCAGUGGUAAAAUGGAAAGUACCCACCAAAGCCCAAAUUGGAAAACAAACAAGUGGCGGCUGCUCAAUCAAGCCCCCGCUGGAAAGGAGCAGCUCUAAAUUAGUCCACAUUACAGCUAUAUUGUUAAGCAAUGUUCAUCAGCUUAAAUGCUCUUCUCUCAAGUACAUGAACUGCCCACCUACUUGCCACCCCUCCCUUUGACCCACUAAACUGGGCUUAUACAAAAUGACUUCACAGUUUGCUGACUGCUGCUACUGUACAGCACUCGCAGUUGUUGUUAUUUAUUCUUAUUCAGUGAUGCAAUUAUGGUCCAUAUACACGUUCUGCCUGUGCCUCAGCUCUUGAUGUUGCCCAAAGCCUAAUUACUACGGGUAUAAAGCACACCAUUAUCUCUCCACUGUGUUUGUGAAUACCAGGAAAAAGGAAAACAACAUUUCCUGUUGCACAGGAUUAGGGAUGGUUUGUGAAGAUGUGGUUGAUUGACUGCUGUAAACCUAACUGGUCAUUAUUGGGAUGUUUCAGCUUCAAUAUAAUCUUUCCAUAUUACAGGGUAGCCACCAAGUGGCACUGUAUGCUUCAGUUUUUCUUUGGAAAAUCAGUAGGGGCUGUCUUUCAUCUAAAGCUGAUUGUUGUGUGCAAUGCUAUUGCAACACUUGCAUGAAAUAAAAGAGGGGGAAAUCCAGAUGGGAAGAGUUAAUCCCACCCAUGCUCCACUGUUUUGAAAAACACAUUGAGACUGUUAUAAUAAACAUGUUAGAUUUCUGAAGCCAUCGCUGAGCUACCUGUCGUAGCAAAUCACCAUGUGCCAUCGCCUUCACACCUUGAAAGAUAAUAAUGUUGGCACGCUGGACCUCAUCAGCUACCUCUGUGCCACACACACGAAAAAUACAUAAAAGAUCUUUCCUGUCACAUAGCAACACUCUUUUACCUGUUUACGCACUGACGGACGUCAUGCACAAUCAGCUCUCCCCGUAGCAACAGAUCAGACAGACCCAGUGACCCAUCAAUAAUUCAAGCUACUGUACAAUGUGCCUGGUGCCAUAGCCGCUCUCCCAUCAUUACUGACGAGGAAGAACAGGGGGAAGUGGGGGGGGGGCUGGUGGGAUGGAAAGAGGAGCAGCGGUUGGAGAAGAUGUCAGGUCCACUUCUCAUUAGGGCCAUGACGGAGUCUCUCAGGCCUGGUGGAGGAGGACAACAGGCAACUUCUGGCCCAGUCAGCCAGACAGAAGAGCUAACGGGUCCCUUCUUGUGUGGGAACCGCUAUACAAUACUGCAAGAAACUGCAGGAUAUCUGAGAGAUCUUGUUAAACCCUAAGAGAGACAAACUGUCUCAGACUGUCUGUCAUUUACAUGCAAAUGGAUGAGACGUUCACAACUCUGCGUGGGUGAUGGAUUAAAGUUUUCAUAUUCAUUUUUGUUAUAUCCUAUCAGCAACAGAUUCUAAUACAAAGCUAAAACUUAAAAGCCCUGCUAGUUUCAACCAGACUCUGCAAUAUUCAUUACAGUCAUCACUAUGAGUGUUUGACGAAACAAAGUUGUAAUAAUGUGAAUAAAAAUAAAGUUUGUCCUUAAA